GCUCCGGUGGAUUAGUGGUUAGAGCGUCCGCCUCAGAUGCCGGAGGUCGCGGGUUCGAACCCAGACUGAAUCA